UAACGUCCCUGUGCUGUAGCAGACAGAAGUCUGGACCCUUACCUGAUGCGAAGUGACGUGGCACAGCCUGGCUUGGUGCUAGCUGCUAGCAGAGGGAGGCUGGGCUUGGAAUUAGGACUCUUCUAUGGAGGGUGAGCUUAAUUCACACCAAGAGCAAAAUCAUCAAAUCAGGAGAAAAGGCGACUGGGAAGGUCUGAAGGUCUGCACGUGCAGACAUGAACGUACAUAGAAGCUUCCAGUUUCCAUGAAUUACUCAGACAUCUCUGCUUAAGGCCUCCCAGCAGGUGCCACUGAGAGCUUUGGUGCUUCCUAGCGCUCCUCUGUUCACACUGACUGCUGUGGGCCUCCUCUAAAUUUUUCUCAUAAAAAACUGAGUUAUUCUGCAAUGACAGGUUGUUGUGGGGUGAUGGAUAUUUGUGUGGAUGAGGAGAGCAGACUUGCCUGCUCAGGGAAGUGCUGUCUCGCUGGGGUCAUCUCGCACCCAUUCGUAACCGCAGGUCAGUACGUGCCCCGAUGUCCUUGGUCCACCUCAGUGCGGUUUGCUCUGUGUGGCAGGGUUGCUUUGUGUAUUUCACUGCGACUUCCCCUAGCUCCUGUGCUUGCUUUGCCAGUACCGAGUUACAGACGGGGAGGCAGAUUCUGCGCGCAUCGUGUUGCACCAGCUUUGUACGGCGUUCAUCGAUUUUCCACCGGAUAAAACGCAAGCCUGCAGACGACCAAGGGGCUUGGAAAUAUCUCACCUGCAGGGGUAUUUGCAGGAGGUACAUAAUGCAAUUUUCCCAAGGAGCUCCUGCUCGGCACCACUCGCUGAGGACGGCCAAAGGGCUGAGCAGGGCUCCCUGGGGCGGCCUCGGGCUGGGAAAUAACGGGGCCAAAUGCAGCAGCCUCGCCUGGGUGUGCCGGCCCCAAGGGGAGACCUGCCUGUGGUCAGCACGGUGCUGGCAGCACAAGGCGGCAAAUGGGAGAUGCCUGAUUCAUUAGUGUGUGGUUCCUGUGAGAUUGUGCCAUUUAUUUAUUUUUAAACCUAAUUGUUUUAGAUUUUUUUUUCCUAAAAUAAAUUUUGUUUUCAUUCUUUAGAUCUCCCAGGCCUGCAGAACCAGGUGUGCUGGACCAGGGCAGGCUGGUUCCCUGGCUCCAGGGCAGAAGGGAGAGCCUUGGCCUCUCCUGCACCCGUUCUGUUCUGCAUGGCCCUGUCGCUGCUUCCUUGCCUGGCCCCUGCCAGGGAUCGAGCGCUGAGAGAGAAGCCAAGGGAGCACCAAGGGAUCGGAGAAGGCUGCGGCCCUCCUCUGCUGGGGGCUGCAUAGGCCAGAGGGAGAGGGCUUGUUUGCUCUCGGGCUCAUUAAAAUCUGAUGGUUUCAGUAUAAA